AUGCAGUUUCUUUCAGGAAGUUACAACACUUUUGUGGUGAUCAACCAGAAAACUAUUGGUCCUCCAUCCAUCGGUCUCCUAGCUAGAGUAGGGGUAACUAAUUCUGACUUCUUACUACAAGAUUGUUCUAUUUCACUUACAUUUAACAUUGUGAUCUGUUUGGGGUUCCAGUUUAGUUCAGAAUGUGGGUCGUGA
rnacentral:rRNA from 1 species